UUUUUCUUAGUUGAAGGUCACUUCAAAAACAUGAACUUGUGGUUCUCCUGGCCCAAUCCUGCCACUAUGCCCGCAACAGCAUAUCCAGACCAUCCAUCAGGCAAGAAAGCAUCAAGUUGCACGGGAAUUGUACGCAGGUCAGCAUAUUUCCCGCCUGCAUACCAAGUAACAAUGAUGACUACCAUUUACAAGUCACACCACACAUGGGCCUCUUCAUCACUCAGCCCCCAGCAGCGGUGGUGUAUGGAGAAGUAGAGCUGCAUGACCUUCAUGGCACAAGAAAUCAGUCUGACAACAUUUAACGAUGUCACUGGAGAUAUCCAAGGUUAUACACCUCAGCGGGUCAGGCAGGGCUUGGACCUCAAAUUCCUGACAACACAAUGGUCUUCCUACCAUGUCAUUGACUUCAUUUGUCUCAAGAAAAAUUGAUUCUCAUAAAAUAAUGUACCAGAG
rnacentral:lncRNA from 1 species